GGCACACAUUUGAAGUAGAGUAGAUCAGGAGGUUCAUCUGACCCUGCUAACCUACCAUACUUCGAGUUUGUGCCC
rfam:Haemonchus placei strain MHpl1 genome assembly, scaffold: HPLM_scaffold0003052